GCCGGUUUAGCUCAGUUGGUAGAGCGCUUGAUUUGUAAUCAAGAUGUCGCGGGUUCAAAUCCUGCAACCGGCACCA
rnacentral:tRNA from 1 species